rnacentral:rRNA from 1 species
GACGAACGCUGGCGGCGUGCCUAAUACAUGCAAGUCGAACGCAGUGGGGACGGGUGAGUAACACGUGGGUAACCUCCCAUCAGAGGGGAUAACACUUGGAAACAGGUGCUAAACCGAUACUGAUGGAUGGACCCGCGGUGCAUUAGCUAGUUGGUGAGGUAACGGCUCACCAAGGCCACGAUGCAUAGCCACACUGGGAGGGUGAUCGGCCCGACUAUGACUGAGACACGGCCCGGACUCCUACGGGAGGCAGCAGUAGGGAAUCUUCGGCAAUAGACGAAAGUCUGACCGAGCAACGCCGCGUGAGUGAAGAGGGUUUUCGGAUCGUAAAACUCUUUUGUUAGGGAAACGGUAUCUAACCAGAAAGCCACGACUCACUACGUGCCAGCCGCCGCAGUAAUAC